ACAGAAAAAUCUCUCAUUUGUUCACUAGAGUUUAGCAGAGAGACAUGUCAGAACCCAUUGCCCAUUACUGUAGUUUUCUAGUGACUUUAUCGUCUUUUUCCAUUGUCAUAAAAUGAAGUAAACAAAGAAAAAAUAAUUUAGUGGAGAAAGGAGAAGAUGGAAGAGAGCUGAGCGGAGAACAGAACAGUGGAAACGAUAUCCAGGAGCCGCCCAGUACAGCUAAGGUACAGAGAAAUAAAAGCUUAUUACAUUCCUGCUAAAUAUCUGGGCCUGAAUGACCGAAAAGAGGAAGAAAACUUCCUGAAAGAGAAAGAAAACUUCCAACAAAGAAGAGAGAAGUGUAAGUGGCCUUCAAGGACCCUGCUACAUCCAUCUGAUGGGCAGCACAGAGGAUCAGAAUUCACUGACAAAUUAAGGAGCCAUCUGGGCGUCAUUUUCUGCAGAAAGAAGAUUUAGCUGAUAAAGUCACAGCGGGAAGAAGGGGUAUGGGGUGACACCUUUUUUUGCCUCAUCGGGUGACACCAACCCUCGAGCGGGGAUGGGCUGUGUAGACAUGUGGCAUCAGGAUGGUCACAGAGUGAUGGAGCCCAGGCACAGCCUGGCAAAGCAGAGCAAAGGAAGAGGAAGCUGGAAACACGGAUGCCUUAUGAUAUCUUACUUUCUCUUAGAGAGUGGGAGCCCAUGGGGACCCGGAGCAGACAAUACAGAAAAGGUGUAUUAUUUUAUCGUAAAGUUUUUGUGGGACAGUUUGAGAAAAAUUAUUUUAUAUAGUAGGACAUUAUUUUAUAUGGGGCAUUGUGGGGGCACUAAAUGUGUUGCAUUAUUAUAUAUAUGGGAAUACAGGAUAUUCAACUUUUUCUGUCCACCAACACAAAAUACUCUGAUAGUGCCCCUCCCGAGACUAGGCUCUGGAUCGGCCCCUGCUCAGGGCUCCUCUGUACCGGUUACAUUAUCAUAUUAAUCCUUCUCCUGUGGCCGUGCUAUAUCUCCUAACCAUCCAGGCCUGGCUACAUCAGCACUAGCUCUCCAGCUAUCACCCCAGUCUGCCCCGCCAUUCAUCACCCUCCCCUGCCUGUGUCCAUCUCAUUCACCCUGGG